rnacentral:rRNA from 1 species
UGGCUUAGGACGAACGCUGGCGGCGUGCCUAACACAUGCAAGUCGAACGGAGUUGAGGAGCGUUGCUCCUUAACUUAGUGGCGGACGGGUGAGUAACGCGUGAGUAACCUGCCUCUGAGAGGGGAAUAACGUUCUGAAAAGAACGCUAAUACCGCAUGACACAUAUUUGCCGCAUGACAGAUAUGUCAAAGAUUUUAUCGCUCAGAGAUGGACUCGCGUCCGAUUAGUUAGUUGGUGAGGUAACGGCUCACCAAGACCCGCGAUCGGUAGCCGGACUGAGAGGUUGAACGGCCACAUUGGGACUGAGACACGGCCCAGACUCCUACGGGAGGCAGCAGUGGGGGAUAUUGCGCAAUGGGGGCAACCCUGACGCCAGCAACGCCGCGUGAAGGAUGAAGGUUUUCGGAUUGUAAACUUCUUUUCUCAGGGACGAAAUCUGACGGUACCUGAGGAAUAAGCUCCGGCUAACUACGUGCCAGCAGCAGC